GGUCCUACGGGAGGCAGCAGUGGGGAAUAUUGCACAAUGGGGGAAACCCUGAUGCAGCGACGCCGCGUGAGUGAAGAAGUAUUUCGGUAUGUAAAGCUCUAUCAGCAGGGAAGAAAAUGACGGUACCUGACUAAGAAGCCCCGGCUAACUACGUGCCAGCAGCCGCGGUAAUACGUAGGGGGCAAGCGUUAUCCGGAUUUACUGGGUGUAAAGGGAGCGUAGACGGCAUGGCAAGUCAGAUGUGAAAGCCCGGGGCCCAACCCCGGGACUGCCCUUGGAACUGCAUGGCUGGAGUGCGGGAGGGG
rnacentral:rRNA from 1 species